GAUGAACGCUGGCGGCGUGCCUAAUACAUGCAAGUCGAGCGAAUGGAUUGAGAGCUUGCUCUUAUGAAGUUAGCGGCGGACGGGUGAGUAACACGUGGGCAACCUGCCCAUAAGACUGGGAUACCUCCGGGAAACCGGGGCUAAUACCGGAUAACAUUUUGAACCGCAGGGUUCGAAAUUGAAAGGCGGCUUAGGCUGUCACUUAUGGAUGGACCCGCGUCGCAUUAGCUAGUUGGGGAGGUAACGGCUCACCAAGGCAACGAUGUGUAGCCGACCUGAGAGGGUGAUCGGCCACACUGGGACUGGGACACGGACCAGACUCCUACGGGAGGCAGCAGUAGGGAAUCUUCCGCAAUGGACGAAAGUCUGACGGAGCAACGCCGCGUGAGUGAUGAAGGCUUUCGGGUCGUAAAACUCUGUUGUUAGGGAAGAACAAGUGCUAGUUGAAUAAGCUGGCACCUUGACGGUACCUAACCAGAAAGCCACGGCUAACUACGUGCCAGCAGCCGCGGUAA
rnacentral:rRNA from 1 species